rnacentral:rRNA from 1 species
UACGGAGGGGGCUAGCGUUGUUCGGAAUUACUGGGCGUAAAGCGCACGUAGGCGGCUUUGUAAGUUAGAGGUGAAAGCCUGGAGCUCAACUCCAGAACUGCCUUUAAGACUGUAUCGCUUGAAUCCAGGAGAGGUGAGUGGAAUUCCGAGUGUAGAGGUGAAAUUCGUAGAUAUUCGGAAAGAACACCAGUGGCGAAGGCGGCUCACUGGACUGGUAUUGACGCUGAGGUGCGAAAGCGUGGGGAGCAAACAGGG